UUCUACAGCGUUUGGAGAAGGGGGAGUCUGUCAGUCAGACACAGAGGUCGAGCCGUGGAGCAGAUCUCGCGGCGGGGCUCCUCCCGGGGCUGGUACGUCCUGCCGGCCGCCGGCGACCUCCUCGUCGAUGAGUACGUGCAGCAGCCCGGAGAGGCGCCUGCAGCUGCAGGGGCCGCCAAAGGCUGGAUCUCGCAGAAUCGUGAGAAUCUUCACAUGCAUAGGUACUUGAGAAAGGGAGGGGAAUCAGAAUUGUUGUGGAGGAAAUGAAAAUAUCUUGUUAUUUGGCUGCUAACAUCCAUGUUCUUUUAGACUGAACAUUGCCAUGGGUGUUUCUCUACGCAGCGAAUAUAUUAGAUCAAGCAUCAUAUCAUGGACACCAUAAGACUUUUCUGUCUUGAUAAUGAUGUCUACAGGUUGGACCCUACUUUUGUUUAUGAGCUCAUUCAAGUAACUCUCCUAGCUCAAAUGGGUCAAUUUCAUGUUUACAUGAUAGAUGAUACACAAAUCUUCAGCCAUCCAUCUCCAUAUGAACUGGUCUUGCUUAAUUUUGUAGUCUUCUGGAUAUAUGCUUACAUAUAAUAAAUAAUGUGAAGGUAGAUCAUAGAACGACAACAUAAUCUUUAGUCUUGAACAAAUUAUGGUAGACUAGAGAUAGAACACUAUACGAACCAGACACAUACCGACGAUAUGGAAACUAGCAAAGAAAUAGUAAAAGAAGUUCCUGACUUGUAGAUUAUGUCAACGUGAUAAUCUGGAGUCAAGCUUCUUUUACUACUAAUUUUGAUCUACCUUGUCAUCGAUAGGAUUAGUUAUUAUAUCUAAGCAUGUGUUCAGAAGAUUAGGAGAUUAAGCAAGGUCACUUGAUAUGUAAAUGGAUGGCUGAAUGUUUUGUGUAUCAUGAAGAACAAGAGACUAGCCUAUUUGAGCUCGGUGGUAGAGUUACUCAAUGAGAUCAUAAAUAGAAGCAUGAUCGAUCAAUAGACAUCAAUGUUGAUGAAGGCAAUGAAAAAAAAUCUUAUGGUAUACAUGAUAUGAUGAUUGAUCCCAUAUGUUUUUGCCAAGUGAAGAAACCCACUUGCAUGGCACUGAGUGAAAACUGUCUAUCCAAAGGCAAGAUUUGAAUAUUAUCCAUCCGAAAGAGAAUGUCACAUAUGGUCGCCAUCAAAAGAAGCAACAAUGCCACAAGUGAGCUCUCUUGUAUAUCCAUGUGCUAUUGUUGAUUCAGUGCCGCGUAUGUUGAGUGAGCAUUUAUGUUCUACAUGUGUUAGGUUUAAAAUAUUGUGCUGAACACUUCCAUUCUUGCCAAUUGAGAUGGUGAGACUCAGGAACACUGCAUUUGCCAUGGUGUUUUGAUUUGUCUUGUGCAGCGACAUGAAAUUCUUAUUGUAAUUGUACCCACUAAUGACUGAAUACUGCUGUCACUUCGGUUAGAUUCAAGAAGCGCCAAGUUUCGGCGGCGCCUCCUGCACUUUGCUAAUGAUGAACUUCCCUCUCCAUUUCUUUCUUUUGUAAGGAAGAGUUAUGCACUUAUGAUGUAUGGCUGGCUGGUUAAUUUUCUGUCAAUUCAACAACCAGUUUGUAGGGCGGCCACUGCAAUUUGCUCGUAUGCACCAUUAGUUAUUAUAUAUGUACUGAUGUC